rnacentral:rRNA from 1 species
AUUGAACGCUGGCGGCACGCCUUACACAUGCAAGUCGAACGGCAGCAUGGGUGCUUGCACCUGAUGGCGAGUGGCGAACGGGUGAGUAAUGCAUCGGAACGUACCCGGAAGUGGGGGAUAACGUAGCGAAAGUUACGCUAAUACCGCAUAUUCUGUGAGCAGGAAAGAGGGGGAUCGCAAGACCUCUCGCUUUCGGAGCGGCCGAUGACGGAUUAGCUAGUUGGCGGGGUAAAGGCCCACCAAGGCAACGAUCCGUAGCGGGUCUGAGAGGAUGAUCCGCCACACUGGGACUGAGACGCGGCCCAGACUCCUACGGGAGGCAGCAGUGGGGAAUUUUGGACAAUGGGGGCAACCCUGAUCCAGCCAUGCCGCGUGAGUGAAGAAGGCCUUCGGGUUGUAAAGCUCUUUCGGCUGGGAAGAAAUCGCAUCUCCUAAUACGGGGUGUGGAUGACGGUACCAGCAUAAGAAGCACCGGCUAACUACGUGCCAGCCGCCGCAGUAA